UGGUGAGGUGUGUGUGUAUGAUGUGGUGUGUGUAUGGUGAGGUGUGUGUAUGGUGAGUGGUGUGUGUAUGGUGAGAUGUAUGUAUGGUGAGGUGUGUGUAUGUAUGGUGAGGUGUGUAUGUAUGGUGAGGUGCGUGUAUGGUGAGGUGCGUGUGUGGUGUGGUGUGUGUAGGGACCCAGGUUGUGUGCGGCAUGGGUGUGGUGUGCGUGUGUAUGAUGUGUGUACGGGGUGCGUGAGCUGUGUGUGUGGUGUGUGUGUGGUGUGCAUGUGUACGAUGUGUGUGAUUUGUGUGCCGGGUGUGUGCGUGGGGUGUGUGGGGUGUGUGUGUAUGAUGUCUAUACAGUAUAUGUGUGUGAUGUAUGUUGUAUAUAUGUGGUGUGUGUGGUGUGUAUGUGUGUGUCGGAUGCAUGUGGUGUAUGUGUGCAGGGUGUGUGUAUGGUGUGUGGUAUGUGUGUGGUGUGUGUAUGGGGUGUGUGUCUGUGUGUGUGCUGUGUGUUGGGCCCAGGGCCCAAGAAGGAAGCAAGACUGCCCAGGGAAAUGCCACCCUGGAGAGGCCUCCGUUCCUCCCUGCCCAUCCUCCCCCUCCCCCUGCAUCCAUCCCUACUCAUCCCUGUCCCCCUCCAUCCCUCCCUGUCCAUCCCUCCAGUUCCCCUCCGUCCCUCCCUGCCCAUCCCUGUCCCCCUCCGUCCCUCCCUGCCCAUCUCUGUCCUCCUGUCCCUCCCUGCCCAUCCCUGUCCCCCUCCGUCC
rnacentral:lncRNA from 1 species